rnacentral:rRNA from 1 species
UUAAAUUGAAGAGUUUGAUCAUGGCUCAGAUUGAACGCUGGCGGCAGGCCUAACACAUGCAAGUCGAACGGUAACAGGAAACAGCUUGCUGUUUCGCUGACGAGUGGCGGACGGGUGAGUAAUGUCUGGGAAACUGCCCGAUGGAGGGGGAUAACUACUGGAAACGGUAGCUAAUACCGCAUA